rnacentral:lncRNA from 1 species
UCAACAGCAAGAGGUUUUCCAACAGCUGAAGCUAUUGACAUUAAAGGCCUCUUAGCAAAUAAUUUGGUGGUAAACCUGGAAGAGAAAUCCAUACAACUGCCUUCGAUGUUUCCUCCUUCGGAUUGAAAUCGAAAGACCACGGGAAUGUUCUGAAAAGAUAUUCAUCACCUUUGGAUUUAAGGAAUCCAGUCGACUUUGAAAGGAAAUGAACAUAAUCAUUGAAAAGAUCGAAUCUGACCAAUAGAU